rnacentral:tRNA from 1 species
GGAGAGGUGACAGAGUGGCCGAUCGUGCACGCUUGGAAAGCGUGUGAACCGCAAGGUUCCCAGGGUUCGAAUCCCUGUCUCUCCGCAA